rnacentral:lncRNA from 1 species
CACCUGGGACACACCUGAGCACACCUGGGACACACCUGAGCACACCUGGGGACACCUGAGAUACACCUGGGCACACCUAGGCACAUGUGGGACACACCUGGGCACACCUGGGACACACCUGGGCACACCUGGCCAUGCAGAUGUUGGAUUUUUCCCGCCAUUCCCGGUUUUUUUCUCACCUUUUCCCGUUUUUCCCGUUUUUCUCCCCAAACCGCAGCCGGAUUUCGUCGGCAUCAUCUGCACCCGCCUGAGCCCCAAGAGACUGAUCGAGAAAUGGGUGGACUUCGCCAGGCGGCUCUGCGAGCACCAGUACGGGAACGCGCCGCGCGUGCGCAUCAACGGCCACGUGGCCGCGCGGUUCCCGUUCAUCCCCCUGCCCCUGGACUACGUCCUGCCCGAGCUGCUCAAGAACGCCAUGAGGGCGACGAUGGAGUCGCACCUGGACACUCCGUACAACGUCCCCGACAUCGUGGUGACGAUCGCCAACAACGACAUCGACCUCGUCAUCCGGAUUUCGGACCGGGGGGGAGGAAUUCCCCACGAUUUGCUGGACAAGGUCACCGAGUACCAUUUCAGCACGGCCGAGGCGAGCGCGCAGGACCCGCGCCUGGGGGGGCCCUUCCGGGGCCUGAUGGAGCCCAACGGGCAGGCGGGGCCCAUGCACGGGUUCGGCUUCGGGCUGCCCACGUCCCGCGCCUACGCCGAGUACCUGGGCGGGUCCCUGGCGCUGCAGUCGCUGCAGGGCGUCGGCACCGACGUCUACCUGAGGCUGCGGCACAUCGACGGCAAGGCCGAGAGCUUCCGCAUCUAGGGGGGCUCGGGGGACCCCGGAAUCCCGGGAUCGGGGCGGGGAGAGCCGGGAGAACCUUCCAGAAUUGGGGUUGGGUCAUCAGAACCGUGGAGAACCUUCUAGAAUUGGGGUUGGGUCAUCAGAACCAUGGAGAACCUUCCAGAAUUGGGUUUGGGUCAUCAGAACCAAGAAGAAC